rnacentral:rRNA from 1 species
AUGUUUCCCGAGAGAGACUGCCUUCUCUUAGGCCAGCAGUCUUAUACUUAUAGUCGACUGCUCUAUGAUGAUCUGACCUCUUUCCUGGGCUCUGCUUGCUCGUCUACGCUCCGACCAAUUCAGUCAAAAUCGAAAAAAUGUUGUUUCCUUGAAAAAGUCUAA